UGGAAUAACUCCGGGAAACCGGGGCUAAUGCCGGAUAACAUGUUGAACCGCAUGGUUCAACAGUGAAAGACGGUCUUGCUGUCACUUAUAGAUGGACCCGCGCCGCAUUAGCUAGUUGGUGGGGUAACGGCCUACCAAGGCAACGAUGCGUAGCCGACCUGAGAGGGUGAUCGGCCACACUGGAACUGAGACACGGUCCAGACUCCUACGGGAGGCAGCAGUAGGGAAUCUUCCGCAAUGGACGAAAGUCUGACG
rnacentral:rRNA from 1 species